GACGUAGGUGGCGAACGUUAUCCGGAAUUAUUGGGCGUAAAGGGUGCGUAGGUGGCCUGACAAGUUAUCAGUGGCAAAUCGAGGCUCAACCUCGUGGAAACUGGUAAUACUGUUCGGCUUGAGUACAGGAGAGGUUAACGGAACUCUAUGUGGAGCGGUAAAAUGCACAGAUAUAUAGAAGAACAUCAAUAAAGGCGAAGGCAGUUAACUAUUCUGUUACUGACGCUGAGGCACGAAGCGUGGGAGCAAACGG
rnacentral:rRNA from 1 species